rnacentral:rRNA from 1 species
GACGAACGCUGGCGGCGUGCUUAACACAUGCAAGUCGAACGGUGAAGGGACCGGUUUUUGCUGGUUCUGGAUGAGUGGCGAACGGGUGAGUAACACGUGAGUAACCUGCCCCCUUCUUCUGGAUAACCGCAUGAAAGUGUGGCUAAUACGGGAUAUUCUGCGCCUGCUGCAUGGUGGGUGUGGGAAAGAUAUUGUUUCGGUGGGGGAUGGGCUCGCGGCCUAUCAGCUUGUUGGUGGGGUGAUGGCCUACCAAGGCGGUGACGGGUAGCCGGCCUGAGAGGGUGGACGGUCACACUGGGACUGAGACACGGCCCAGACUCCUACGGGAGGCAGCAGUGGGGAAUAUUGCACAAUGGGCGCAAGCCUGAUGCAGCGACGCCGCGUGAGGGAUGGAGGCCUUCGGGUUGUAAACCUCUUUCGCCAGUGAAGCAGGCCUGUCCCUUUUGUGGGUGGGUUGACGGUAGCUGGAUAAGAAGCGCGGGCUAACUACGUG